CCUACGGGAGGCAGCAGUGGGGAAUAUUGCACAAUGGGGGAAACCCUGAUGCAGCAACGCCGCGUGAGUGAAGAAGUAUUUCGGUAUGUAAAGCUCUAUCAGCAGGGAAGAAGGUGACGGUACCUGAAUAAGAAGCCCCGGCUAACUACGUGCCAGCAGCCGCGGUAAUAUGUAGGGGGCAAGCGUUAUCCGGAUUUACUGGGUGUAAAGGGAGCGCAGACGGCAGUGCAAGUCUGGAGUGAAAGCCCGGGGCCCAACCCCGGAACUGCUCUGGAAACUGUGAGGCUAGAGUACUGGAGGGGCAGGCGGAAUUCCUAGUGUAGCGGUGAAAUGCAUAGAUAUCACGCAGAACCCCGAUUGCGAAGGCAGCAUACCGGUGCACAACUGACGCUCAGGCACGAAAGCGUGGGUAUCGAACAGGAUUAGAUACCCCUGUAGUC
rnacentral:rRNA from 1 species